GACCACUGUGGCUACCUUAGAGACUGCCAACUACAGCUGUCUAAAACCACCAUGAAGUGCAGGGUUAGGACAGACUUGGUGUCAUGAGUGAAGACAGAAUUAUCUAUGCACUGAUGCUUGUGAAAAAGGUAGUUAUGGAGGCGAGGACGCUGAAGCAAAAGCCAAGAGAUGUAGGUUUUGGUCCUGGUGAAAGCAACCAACCAACAGGGAAGCCUGGAGCAUGUUCAUCCCCACUGCUCAGCCCUUUUCUUGAGCAGUCAAGUUUUGGAGUCAAGUUUUGGAAUCAGAAGUUAACACUUCAAUGCAGGUUCUAGUCCAUAGCAACAGCAGUGUAUCUAGUUCUAGAAUGUAUUUGCGUUGCCUGAUUUUGGACAUUUCUGUCAAUUCUGAGUCCCAGGGAUCUGGGGAACUGUGGCCAAGAGGAGCCAAAGCCAUGGGCAAUACAUCUGCCUGAUUGGCAGAAUGGAAAAAAGACUAUUCACUAUAAAACACACGUUAAGGAAGCAGCUCUUAGUGAGUUUCUCCUCAUCCACCAGGAGGAACCUGGUUGUCAGGGGCUGAAAUGACUCCACAGUGCCAAUCCAACCUGCCACUAGAUGUUGUAGUCAGAAAUGGUGUGGGCUGAGAGAAGAGGGCAAGUCUUGAUUCUCCAGUGGAAGACUUGCUUCUGGUGCUGGGAAGAAAACACUGUCUGAGACACAGUGUCUCCUCUGGGGAUGGCACUGGAAGGUUUUUUUUUCCUGGCUAGUCCUCACUUUGUGCAUUAAAGAAAGGACACCAGAGACACCAGUACUUAGUGUUGGAUUGAACGAAAUACCAGGCCUUCAUCAUGAGCAAUAAGAAUAAAGUUCACUUUGGUUUU